UAUUUCUGCCUUGUAAAGGUACAGACAGCAGAGGCGCAGAAAAAGCUGUCAGAUACAGAUUGACAAAGCCGCAGCCCCCUUUCGCUUGGCAGAGCCUUUACAGCGACACUUUUAAAACAAAGACAAUUGCACCCGGUAAUAACAGGUAUACAAUACUGAGCAAGUACAAAAGGAAACCAAUCAAGAUUAUACGAUAUUUGUACAAUACUCCCAAACAAGAAAACAGAACCUACAUGCUAACGUACAUAGCACCCAAAGUACUGUUCGACGCGUUGAAGAGGUCAAAAUUAUUGUUCACAUAAGGUAUAUACAUAUUCGUAUAGCGCUACCAAUCCCUGCAAAAUAUAGAACGCAGAUUUUCAUUACACACACGCACGCACGCACGUGCACAGCACACACACACACCAAAAGGAAACGGUAACGCGCUCACAGGAAGCGCCUGAAAAACGAAAAAAAAGGAAAAGUGUGGGGAACCGAGGUCGUCUUGGGCUGUCGCCUCUCCCUCUCCCAGAAGGAAUGAAGAGGUUCUUGGAAAGCAGGGACGGGCGAUUCUCUCUGUCAGCAUCAGCUCCCACCAGCGAGGACGGGGCGAGAAAGCGAAACGGGACUUUCCUUGCUGUCUAUUUUUUCUUCGUCAGGCCAACGCCGCUUGCUUGCAGGGGCGCAGGCGAGUUCCCGCCAAAUGGCGCGGGUGCGUGAGUUGCCGCCAAAUGCUAGCUCUGGAUGCCAGCUCGUUCCGCGUCUCAUGGUAGACUAGUUGGUGCAUUUCUGUUAUCAUGGACUGCGCAUAUAAACGCAAGCUACACAAAAGUGACAUGGACAAGAACAGCGCAAGCCCUUUACAUGCAGUGGAGCCGCCGUAUCUCGCCGUUCAAGAUAUGCGUACUCGUAAAAAAAAAAAAGAGGCUUUACAUGAGAACGGAUCAAGCGUUCGAGAGUUGGGACAGGGAAAUGUGAGACGUACUUUCAUGUAUAUAUUUCUAAUAUUAUUUUUUCGUCUUGUAUUCUCGUUAAUUUUUCUCUAGGAAACACUGGAACGACACUGCUUAAAUUGAAGCACAGUGUGCGAAUGACCUGCUACGCUCGGAACUGUUAUCACCAUUCGGGAAGAAAUUGGAUGAAAAAACAUAACUGUAAAUACCUGUAUGAUAUACGUCUGGUGCAUUGCAGGUAAGAAUGGAUUGUGUGUGGCGCGCUUCACCGCAUGUGGACUAGAGUAGAUCUAGGAACAUCAGACAAGAAGACACGUAUGUGAAACCCUGCGGAUAGCCCAUAUGUGAACUUUUUUUCCAGAUACGGAGGAACGGACACCGGUCGUGCCGUGAGCACUAUUCUGCAGGGCAUACUUACAAAUGAAGCUGCACUGCAGUUCAGCUGGAAAGGGUCGCAGGGGAGGAAGCACGCCUUCGUGAAGCUCAUGGCCAUCACGAAUAUAAGUAAGAAAUAUGGCAUAACAAUCAGCUUUCUAGUGCACGUUGCGAACAUCGGUACCAACUGCAUGCUUAGUUUUUUUUUUCUUCAUUCAAACAAGCUGCUGCUUAUUGCAUCUUGCUGCGUCCAGUAUUAGCAUUUUCUUUAAUAAAAUAAUGCCGUAAUAAGUGAGUUCUACUUGCGGCGUCCAUAUUUUGCCACUGCUUUUGAGGAGUUUGUUUUGCUUCACCAUAUAAUAUAUGCUGUAUAUGCUGUUUCUGCUUUAACCCGUGUAUGCUAACUGUUUUCUGCAAAACAUAGACCUAUCAUCGUUGCCAUCAUGUCAGCAAGUAUAUGUAUCAUGCCAUAAGCUUCCCCUCUUGCCUCUCCAGACAUUUACCUAUUCACCUCCUUGUGCCGCUUGGCGCGCUCCGGGCUCCGGCGCG